rnacentral:rRNA from 1 species
UGUGGUUUAUUCGAUGCAACGCGAAGAACCUUACCAAGGCUUGACAUGUCGCGAACUCUUCUGAAAGGAAGAGGUGCCUUCGGGAGCGCGAACACAGGUGGUGCAUGGCUGUCGUCAGCAUCSUSUCGUGAKCAYCGYUGGSUGCURAGUCACAACGCAACGAGCGCAACCCUCGUUUUUAGUUGCCAGCAUUAAGUUGGGCACUCUAGAGAGACUGCCGGUGACAAACCGGAGGAAGGUGGGGAUGACGUCAAGUCAGCAUGCCCCUUACGCCUUGGGCUACACACGUACUACAAUGCUACGGACAGAGGGCAGCAAGCUAGCGAUAGCAAGCUAAUCCCAUAAACCGUGGCUCAGUUCAGAUCGAAGGCUGCAACUCGCCUUCGUGAAGGAGGAAUCGCUAGUAAUUGCAGGUCAGCAUAACAUGAAUUCUUCCCGGGCCUUGUACACACCGCCCGUCACACCAUGGAAGCUGGCAACGCCCGAAGUCAUUACUCCAACCUUUCGAGGGGGAGGAUGCCUAARGCAGUGCUGGUGACUGGGGUGAAGUCGUACA